CUGCAUGGCUGUCGUCAGCUCGUGUCGUGAGAUGUCCGGUUAAGUCCCGCUAACGAGCGCAACCCUCGCUGUGUGUUACAAGUGUCACACGGGAACUGCCGGUCAUAAACCGGAGGAAGGUGGGAUGACGUCAAGUCAGCAUGGCCUUUAUAUCCUGGGCUACACACACGCUACAAUGGGAAGGGACAAUAGGUUGCGAAGCCGCGAGGCGGAGCCAAUCCAGCAAAACUUCCCUCAGUUCAGAUUGCAGGCUGCAACCCGCCUGCAUGAAGUUGGAGUUGCUAGUAAACGCAGGUCAGCCAUACUGCGUUGAAUACGUUCCCGGGGCCUU
rnacentral:rRNA from 1 species